rnacentral:lncRNA from 1 species
UGUGUUUAAAAAGUAAAGGGAUCUGAAUACUUCCGAAUGCUCUGUCUCUGUCAUCACUCCUAAUAUUGGUUGGACAUAACUCACAAUGUCAGUGGCUCUGUAAAUACAUAAUGUUGUGAGGGUCUUAUAGAAUCCUGGAGUUGGUAUAUUAUAUUACUUGUACAUAAAGCUUUUGUGAAAUAAUACAAGGCCAUUUUACUGAUGAAUUGACUGAAUAAUAAUUCAACCUGUGUCCCAAUUAACAGGCAAAUCAUAACUAUAACUUGCAGAAACUUCUUUCACCAACUUUUCAUUUUGUAACAGGUGGUAUGUAUUGUUGUGUUGAAUAGAAAAUAUACAACUGCUAGGUCUCCUGAGGUGCACAUGUAGAGCUAGCAAGAGCAUGUAUGAUUUAGUCCUCGAUAAAUUACUUGCAUACACAAAAUUGCCUUUCAUGUUUAGAGUGGUUGUGGGAACUGUGGUGCCUGCAGAUUUCCCCUCCCUCACUGGUGAUGUUGCAAAAGCAGAUUUCCCCUCCACCCAACUUGUCGCAGCCAUGCUGAUCGACGUCCCAACCUACACUGGCAGAAUGCCCAAAAGCUUCCUGAGUCCAUGCUUGUGAUGACAUUGCUGCUCGUGCUCAUUCUCGCGCUGCUCCGGUGGAGUAGUCCCAAAAUGGCAGCAGCCACGAUAUAGCGUUUGCGAACGACAGGGAUUGACCUGACUUUCAAGAAUUACUGAAUUGCUUCGCCUCUGGGUGGGCAUCAGACAUCUCUUCUUGUCAUUUACAGUAAUGCCCAGCCCGCCGGUGUGGGUCAGGAGCAUCUCUCUGUCUGACAGGUCCUGGGUCCUAGUCGGGGCACAAAUCAGCCAAUCACCCUGGUAAUUGAGGAUCAACAAUCCUCGGGAUGUGAGAGGUGCCAGGACAGCGUCCAUGCACUUUGUGAAAGUGCGGGGUGCCAAGGAGAGUCCUACGAGAAGAACCAUGAAUUCGUAAGCCGUCCCUUCGAAAGCGAAUCGGAGGUCCUGCCAAUGAGCUGGGUGAACAGGAACAUGGAAGUACGCAUCGCUCAGGUCCAGCAUAACAAACCACUGGUCCCUGGAAUGGCCUGCAACACGGGGGCUGGGGACAGCAUGUGGAACCUCAGUACCUUCAAGUAUCCAUUGAGGUUGCGGAGGUCCAGAUUUGGUCGAAACCCUCCGUCUCUUUUGGGGACCACAAAAUAAUGGGAGUAGAACCCACCUAGCCGUUCUGAUGUCUCGAUCCUGCGGAUGGCACCCUUGUCCAGGAGUGAGGAGAUCUCCAGCCGCAGGAUUUUCUUCAGGGGGUCGGCUACCGUGGUGACACGAAGGCCCCUGAAGGACGGGGGCCGGCACCGUAUUUGGAGUUGGUACCCCUCGAGCAUUGUAGACAACACCCCGUGGCACGGGCCAUAUCCCUCUGGAGCAGGGAAAGCAGGCGAGACACUUCCAUUGCUUCCCAAAGGAGCUCCUCUGUGCCCUCCUGCAGCCGGGGCAACAGAGUCUGCAGGUAGGCCUGCAGCAGCAUGGCCUCGUUGGUAAGGCAGCCAAGAGAGCAGAGGGACCCAUAUGUGUCUUUCAAGUCUGCAUCAAAGACUCUGGAGGGUCCCGGCUUCAGUCGCGGUUUCUGCCCUAUAAUCUCCCAGUGCGGGAGGACCAUGGCAGCUAUCAUGGUGUCCAUGGUCAGGUACUCCUGUAGGCCGAGUGACUCUGCACCUGCAACAUAACUCCAUGGUCCAGUCUCUUCUGUGAGUCGGAAGCGCCCCCUGGCAGAGGCCCAGCUCUCCUGCAAGGCCUCACAGAACUCAGCAGAGAUGGGGACAGAUGGAGAGUCAUCACUGUCCACCAGUUUGAUGUCCAGUGCAGUGGCUACCCGAGUGAGUAGGCUUCUCAUAGCCUCUCAAGCCGCUGGGGGUGAUGAAGCCCUCCUGGCGGCUUCUGAUGGCCUGUCAGCCUGGUAGCCCUGCAGUGCCAGUAUCGUCCCCCAGGAACAGCCCAUCACUGGCCAACAGGUAACAGCUGUCAUCACCAUCGAAGCUAUCAACUUCCGGAUGCAGGGCAUGCACCCUCUGUUCAAGGUGGUCCCAGCGGUCCGACUCCUGCCCCCGUCCAGGACUGGCAUCAGAUGGGCUCUGCCUGCGGUUGCUCCGGCCACGCUUCCUAGGAGGGGUACCUGGCUCAGUAGUGGGACUAACAGCUCGCUGAUGCACCACUCCUGAGGGAGGGAGCUCAUCCCCAGCCUGAGGCCGAGCCUGGCCGACCCAAUCGCGCAUGGCCUCCAUUGGCACAGGCACAGGCGUUCUGAGAACACCACACAAAACAGGCAUCCAGUAGGGCGCUCCACUGCCCUCCACAUGGCUCAAACCCAGGCAGUGCAUACAUGAGGUAUGCGGAUCCCCAGGGGGGAUGCCAACAUCAUACCUGUCACAAAGGGAAGCCAUAAGCUCAGCCAAGCCAACAAGGCCACGGAGCAGGGGUCUGGCGCCCUGGGAGAGCUUAUGCCGUGACUCGCUUGGAGGAAUAGGAACCCGGUGAGGGAUAAUUACCUAGUACCUCUGCAGAAAACGGUGAAGACCCGUGUGGGACAAGCAGGCAGACAAAAAAACAGCAACCAGGGGAAAGAACAAGACAAAAACCCACAGGGUAAUUAGCAGGACCCAACGCGGGGAGCAGCAUGUUAAAGCAAUUCACAACACACACAUAGAACAAGCCAGUCGGUAAGUUGUGUAAGGUAAAUUAAAGUUUGUGGCAGCAAGAGCCAACAUACUAGUGGAUGCACAUGGAGUCGUAGUGUAACACUAACGAAACACAAGUACGACAAACCAUGGGCGGAAGAUACAGAUCAACUGUGCGCAGUGAGUGGAGCACUCAAGAGGAGGGGCUGGCCAUGUGCCCAGCUGCUCCAGACAGCAAACAGCGAGUGAGUAUACUUCCACGCAAGAUAUUAUACUUAUCAGUGACUUACCAAGUGAACUUCAGAAAGUUUGUACCUCGAACCAUACAGAUGUCCGCCGAGAAAAUUAAAGAGAACGUGUGUCGCGGCCAUGGGGUCUAUAUAUAUGGGCGGACCCCAGCCGUGACACAGGUGUACACGGGAGUAAAUCUCUAAAUUCUCACCUCAGAUGUAUCCCUCUUCAGCGGAGUGAUCCAAUAUAGUAAAACACAACCACAGAUUAUCCAUCAUAUAGACCCCUUUCCAGUACGCGACACACUGACGUCACCCACAGAUGUGCAUGACUCUUGGCGGCAGUUAGAAAGCUAUCGCAAUUUGUCCCCAUUUAUCAUACAUUUAAGUUUUUAUUACUUCUAAACAAAAUAACUUUUGGGUUCCCAUGAUGUUUUGAUUCUAGCAUGAACAAUUACUAAGAUUAUAUUUGGUUGUGAUCUUUGCACAAUAACUAUUUUGGCUGCUGCAGUUGUGAGCUAGAAUACAAAUGCUAAUUGAAAUAGGCUGUAGAAAAAGCUAGCCAAGGAGGCAUUUUACUGGUUGAAGUUUAAGUGUUUUUUUAAAGUAUAAUGCAGUUGAUUUGCGAUUAUAACACAGACAUUAUAUUAAGUAGGACAUUCAUUCAUACGAGCCUUAAAAUCUGAUUAUAAUCCAAAAGUGUUGUGAAAAUUUCACUCAUAAGCAACAUUUAUUUUGCUGGCAUUCUAUAAGAACUUCCCCAUGUUCUGCCACCUACCUACGCGCAUCUCCUUCGUGCGGCAAUGUAUGCAAACACAGAAAGGGGUCUAUAGACCAGAUACUCAAGUGGCGGCUCUAACAAUUUAAAUAAAUGUCUUCAAAAAUGGAAGGCAGUCGGGAGGAGGCAAGAUCAGAGUGGAUCAUUCUAUCCAAUGAGUGGGCAUGUGUGAACAACGGGCACAACGCCCCAAAAAUUGUUUUCUUAUCAAAGUUACUCAAAGUACACUCAUGACAACCAAAUCAUUGUGAAACUUAUAUUCAAUCAAAUAAGCCACAUGUAGAAAAUAAACCAUACAUUUUUUGUUAACCAAAUUCAACACUCAUUGACCUCCAAACCAAAACUCCUCGCUUGGCGAGUUAAAAAAACGCCACCUGCUGGAGAAAACAGAUUUUAAACCCAGUUAUUCCUCUCACUUCACCGUUUCCUUUCUGGCAGAACUCCUAUCCACGGUACUGGUAGGAGUAUUUAGAAAGCAAUCUUGUUGUAUGAAUUUCCGAUAGUGGAAACGAUGCAUUUCGGAUAAUGGAACCUAAUCAGUGCACCAACGAAGGCUGGACAAAAACUAAGGGAGCUGUGACGCAUAUUCGAAAACUUCUGCUAUGCUCAAAAAGGUAAACUGAUUUGACUUUUUUGUUAUGAAACUGAGCAUUUGGCCGGGGUAGGCCAUCAUUGUAAAUAAGAAUUUGUUACAGUCUUGUCUCAUCGCUGCAACUGCUGUACGGACUCGGGAGAGACGACGGUCGAGAGCCGUGCGUCCUCCGAAACACAACCCAACCAAGCCGCACUGCUUCUUGACACAAUGCCCACUUAACCCGGAAGCCAGCCACACCAAUGUGUCGGAGGAAACACCGUACACUUGGCGACCAUGUCAGCGUGCACUGCACCUGGCCCGCCACAGGAGUCGCUAGUGCGCAAUGGGACAAGGACAUCCCUGGCGGUCAAACCCUCCCCUAAUCCGGACGACGCUGGGCCAAUUGUGCGCCGCCCCAUGGGUCUCCCGGUCGCGGCCGGCUGCGACAGAGCCUGGACUCGAACACAGAAUCUCUAGUGGCACAGCUAGCAUUGCGAUGCCUUAGAACACUGCGCCAAGAAUUUGAUCACAGGCCCAAGAAUUUGUUCUUAACUGACUUGCCUAGUUAAGUAAAGGUGAAAUAAAUAUCACAGAACUCUUCCAUAACUUUGACUCACUGCUUAAUCCCUCAGGCCCCAAAGAUUCAGGUACUUUACAAAAGUAUUAUAACCUUAGUAUAAUGACUGUCACUGAACAGGAUAGAAUAGACAAAUAUUUUACUGACAGCACUGAACUCUUCCACAACCUAGACUCACUGUUGAUUCCCCCCGAGGACAGGUUAAGACUGUGUCACUAAAUAUGAUAAUAAGCUCGACAAAGGACUAAGCUUUCCCAUUGUUUCCCCUGUAGGUACGUACAACCUGUAGGAUAUGAAUGAUAGUAUUGUUUACAUAGGUAGGCCUAUAUCCCUAAGCCCUGAAUGGCAGUAUUACCAUGUAUUCCCUCUGUGAUUUUUCCUUAUCUCCCAUCAGCCUCCCUGUUAAUGACAGUAAUAAUACAUUGCUAUUAUGUAUGGUGGUGUUUAGCUUGUAGACCUCUGCUCUGACAAACAGGGGGGAUGUUCAUGUUGUCGCAGUGGUAGAGGACUACACUGACUGGCAGCUACAUGCCCCCCUGGGUCACCAAAUUAGAUGCUAGCUUGCUUGCUAGGCAGAACAGGCUGGGUGUGUGACAAGCAAGGCAGACUCUGUGAAUGAAUGCAGAGCAGACAACCGAACACAACCACAGGUGAUUCUAGUUGAAUAUAAAUUGUGCAGUGACAAGGAAAGAGAAAAUUAUAGUGCUACCUUACUGCUUGCUUUCACCAAUGCCAUUAUAGCCCAUGUAUUGGAUUCGUUUUUGGAAAUGUAAUGUCAUUCCCAGACGUUUCCACCCAAAUACGCAAAGAGUCUGGUGGACCAAUGAGUCAAACUUGGAGAAACUCCUGGUGCAUAUGCAGUCUUAAUGGUCUUAAUUUACCAAUAAUCUCCCACAACACCUUCCCCCUCACCCUCCCCUGUAUAUGUCUUGUGCAGCUCGCAGUCGUAUAAUUUACCAAAAUGAAAUGAUAAUUACUUUACUCAGUUGUUCAAUCUAAUAGUAAUCUAUGUUCACUCCCAUUAAGGCAAACUUUGAAUUGUUGAAAUCCCAGGCUUAUAUGUGCUGUGCGCAAUAGGCUGGGGAUGAGGUUAUUGGUAAUGCAAUAGUCUAAUGUACUUUGACUUGCGAUGUUAGCUUAGGUGAGAGUAGUUUGUGUGUUUUUUAGUCCUUUUGUUUUCUUCACUCAUUUCAGAUGCCCUUCCCAUUGAACUACAAGCACAGUCAGAGAACUGUGUUAAAGCACAAGAACUUGAAAAUCUAGUUCAGUCCACGCAGCCGUAAGGUGCGUUGUCGGGUAGAGAAGCCUGUGGAGGUACCACAACCAUCAGACCGUGAGACGGAAGUGGGAAAGCUGCCCCAAGACCUCCCGACACGAUACCGGAGUCCAAGUUCAAAGACCUGUCUGUUUUUAACUUCAACUCCUCCUCCCAAGACUCGGGCUCCUCCUUUCCUCAGAGAGCGACUAACGAUGAGAAGAAGAAGGUGGCAACUAAGCCAAGAAAUGGUGGUGUCAGGAAGCCUGCAGCCUGGCAGAAACCAACAACACGUAAAGAAACCAAGCAGAAGAUCAAGAUGCAGAGGUUGGAGGCGAUCAACCGGCAGUGGGGCUUUGGUGGAGAAGGAGAUGUCAGAGAGGAAGGAGAGCAGGUCAUACACCAGCCCCUCUCAGCUAGAUAAGCUCUCUGCUAAACACCUCAAACAAAAUGAGAAAUCUACUACAAAGCCAGUUCUAUUCUCUCAUCCCAAGCACACUCCCAAACGAUCCUGUGCAGAAGAGAAAAACCUUUCACAGAGUACCCCGCAAAAAACAAGGUGUCUCCCGGCCAGGGUAGAUGUCAGACGGGAGAGGGUCCCACUCCCAGCUCUGCCUACCAUGUUGACAGCCCCAGACAGAAGGACCACCACCAGCACCAGGAGAUCCAGAGGAGGAGAGCACCAGAGGGGCAGCAGCCCUUGUUCCCCGGCCCCCCUGGGGAAGACAUCUCCAGGGAGAGUCUCACAGAGCAGCCCAGCUGUUGUGAAAAGAAACCACAAGGGAUAGACACCCCUGCACCUGGCUGCUAUAAAGGGAGAUGUGGAGACAGUGAAGGAGCUCCUAGACCAGGGGGCUGACCCCAACCUGAAAGACAACGCUGGAUGGACCCUACUGCAUGAAGCGUAUAACCUGGGCCACCAGUGUGUAGUGGAGGUGUUGGUUAGGAGAGGGGUGCUGUUGAACACACCAGGCAAUGAGAACGACUCUCAUAUACUUGACGCUGUCAACACGGAGCUUCACAGAGCGUUUUGAACGUGCUGUUUCACAUUGUCUUCAGUGUCUCUACGCUGCGCUGCUGCACACUGGAUUCGCAUAGCCCGUGUGUUCUUGUAUCAUAUUGUCACCAAUGAGCGAAUUCAUGUUACCAUGAUCCAUGCCUGUGUAACCCUAAUCUCCACAUCCAGAAAAUCUGUAUUUCAUGCAGGCCAGCUACUAGAUGGCAAAGGGAAUAUGUUUGGUCUUCGUCCUGUGGACUAUGCUGUGAACUCAGGCAAUCCUUCAGUCAGCCUCUGAAGGAUCCCAACUCCCCUCUCAGUCCUCCACCCAACCUCAGUAAGUCUAUUGUGUUUCAGGCCAGUGAUGGGGUGAGACGGAAGGAACAGUUGGUAGUAUUGGGCAGUAAACUGUCCCAACAUAACCAGCUGGCCAAACUGGGAAUCCCCCUGGGAGGAAAGAGGGCUGAUGCCUUCUCUUGCUCAGUCACCCAUGUGGUGGUACCAGACGGGCCGAUGCCCACCACCCUGUUCUCUCUCCUGGGUCUCCUGAACGGUUGCUGGGUCCUCAACUUCAGCUGUAAAUAACCUAAGGCCCAAUAAAAUCUGCUUUGCAGAGAAUGAGGAUGGAAUCACGGAAUCCAGACAUUAAAACGGACUUCAACAAUAUUCCAAAAUGUAUUGAACUGAACAAAAUACAUGUAAAGUGUUGGUCCCAUUUUUUUAUGAGCUGAAAUAAAAGAUCCCAGAAAUGUUCCAUACGCA